CCUACGGGUGGCAGCAGUGGGGAAUAUUGGACAAUGGGGGGAACCCUGAUCCAGCCAUGCCGCGUGUGUGAAGAAGGCCCUCGGGUUGUAAAGCACUUUCAGUGAGGAAGAACGCCUGGUGGUUAAUACCCAUCAGCAAAGACAUCACUCACAGAAGAAGCACCGGCUAACUCCGUGCCAGCAGCCGCGGUAAUACGGAGGGUGCGAGCGUUAAUCGGAAUUACUGGGCGUAAAGCGCGCGUAGGUGGCUUGAUAAGCCGGUUGUGAAAGCCCCGGGCUCAACCUGGGAACGGCAUCCGGAACUGUCAAGCUAGAGUGCAGGAGAGGAAGGUAGAAUUCCCGGUGUAGCGGUGAAAUGCGUAGAGAUCGGGAGGAAUACCAGUGGCGAAGGCGGCCUUCUGGACUGACACUGACACUGAGGUGCGAAAGCGUGGGUAGCAAACAGGAUUAGAUACCCUAGUAGUC
rnacentral:rRNA from 1 species